GCGGAUAUGGUCGAAUGGUA
rnacentral:tRNA from 1 species